AGCACUUGUUUUGUGUUAAGUACUCGUAUGCGAUUUCUGAUCCUUGUAUUAUUACUUUUCUUACUGUCAAUUCAUAGAUGAGAGAACUCAGAGAGGUUGAGUGACUAGUUGAAGGUGAAAGAGCUAGAGAUGGAAUUUGAGCAUGACUGUCUAACUCAAGAACCCGAGCUCUUUUCACUACCUCAUGUUUCAGUGACAAAAGAACCCAUGGAAUAGAAUUCCUCAGGCAAAUGUUGAGAAUUCAAACAUGGAUGCCACCUGAAGAGAGGCCCUUUAUUUGGGGAUGGGCCAAGGAAUGGUCCUGGCAGUGCCAAAACUCUCCUGUCAAGUUUGGUUGUGUUCCAACACAUGGAUGAGUGGAAGAGCCCCAACAUUCUGCAUCGAUAGAACAGUAUGGUAACUGUUUAUUGUUGAUUGUUCUGUGAUGGUGGAAGGCCUCUACUCCAUGCAGUUCUUCAGGAAACCAAGCUGAUGGAAGCUCUGCUGUCUUCAACUAGUUGUUCUGGUCAUCUUUGACACCAAUCAACCUUUGGGGAGUGGGGGAUUGCAUGGAAGGUCUCUGGAGGUUUUGCCAGUCUAGCCCAACAGUGGCAUAUAUCAUUUCCACCAGAAAGAACAUAGUCAUUUAGCUACCUAACUGCAAAGAAGUCUAGAAAUCAUGGAAGAAAAGGAGAAUGGAUUUUAAUGGACAAUUAGCAGUCUCUGACAUGAAAUCUGGGAAAGACAAAAUAGUGAUAAAAUGGCAAAUGAGUACCUGCUCUGGUGGAGGGUGGAAAUAAUUUUUUUUAAAUGUAUUUAGAAAGUCAGAGAAGGUAAAACUCAGUGUGGAACAAAGUCAUUGGGAAGAGUAUCACUCAAGAGAUGGAAGAGAUGGAAGAUGGGGCAGAAGAUAAACUGGAUAAAUGAAGACAAAAGAAAUAUAAAUGACUCAAUAAACACAUAUGGAUGCACUGUAUUUUGGAGAAAGAAUAUGUUUGCAAAGCUUUUAAAAUUAAAUCUUCAUGAGAAUGUAGGAGUAAAUGCCAGAUGAAUUCGUGAGUACCUAGUUUAAUGAU
rnacentral:lncRNA from 1 species